AGGAGCCAUAUGAGGUGGGAAUCUCAUGUAUGGUUUUGAAGUGGAGAUCAUUUAAAUGGAAUGAAUGACUGUAAAAGUCAUAUUGAUCUAGAAUCGGAUCCAAGAGACUGAUAGAGCUAAAAAAAACUCAAAAAUGAAAGUUCUUAGAAUUGCCUGAAAUCAAUUCCAUUGCGACCAUCUCGGCACGUUGAUUCCGACCAUAU
rfam:Picea glauca, whole genome shotgun sequence.